rnacentral:misc_RNA from 1 species
GAUGAAGAACGCAGCGAAAUGCGAUAAGUAAUGUGAAUUGCAGAAUUCAGUGAAUCAUCGAAUCUUUGAACGCACAUUGCGCCCGCCAGCACUCUGGCGGGCAUGCCUGUUCGAGCGUCAUUUCAACCCUCGAGCCCCCCCGGGGGCCCGGCGUUGGGGGUCGGCCCUGGCCGCCCCCGAAAUGCAGUGGCGACCUCGCCGCAGCCUCCCCUGCGUAGUAGCACACACCUCGCACCGGGGCGCGGAGACGGUCACGCCGUAAAACGCACCAGCCUUCAAGAGUUGACCUCGGAUCAGGUAGGAAUACCCGCUGAACUUAAGCAUAUCAAUAAGCGGAGGAA